rnacentral:rRNA from 1 species
UACGUAGGUGGCAAGCGUUGUCCGGAAUUAUUGGGCGUAAAGCGCGCGCAGGCGGUCCUUUAAGUCUGAUGUGAAAGCCCACGGCUCAACCGUGGAGGGUCAUUGGAAACUGGAGAACUUGAGUACAGAAGAGGAAAGCGGAAUUCCACGUGUAGCGGUGAAAUGCGUAGAGAUGUGGAGGAACACCAGUGGCGAAGGCGGCUUUCUGGUCUGUAACUGACGCUGAGGCGCGAAAGCGUGGGGAGCAAACAGG